rnacentral:rRNA from 1 species
GACGAACGCUGGCGGCGUGCCUAAUACAUGCAAGUCGAACGCAGUGGGGACGGGUGAGUAACAGGUGGGUAACCUCCCAUCAGAGGGGAUAACACUUGGAAACAGGUGCUAAACCGAUCCUGAUGGAUGAACCCGCGGUGCAUUAGCUAGUUGGUGGGGUAACGGAUCACCAAGGCCACGAUGCAUAGCUGAUCUGAGAGGUUGACCAGCCAAACUGGCACGGAGACACGGCCCAGACUCCUACGGGAGGCAGCAGUGGGGAAUAUUCGGCAAUGGACGCAAGUCUGACGGAGCCACGCCGCGUGAGUGAAGAAGGUUUUCGGAUCGUAAAACUCUGUUAUUAGAGAAGCGUUAUCUAACCAGAAAGCCACGGCUAACUACGUGCCAGCAGCCGCGGUAAUUC